rnacentral:tRNA from 1 species
AGCUCAGUUGGUAGAGCGCUCCACUGGAAAUGGAGAGGUCCCGGGUUCGAUACCCGGACCAGGAG